UAUAGUGUAAUCCCUGCAAAAACGACAAUGAAAACAAGUUGUUUUAAUAUGAGCUAUAGUGGGAUGGAGUCAUGAGUAGGUGUACUUCAAGCAACGUACGUCAUAGGUAAGUAUUAACAAAAUAAAAUAUCCACAAAUCAGUUGUCGGCGACGUGGCAAUGAACCAUCGGAGCAUCAAUGGUGCCGACGAUUAGUUUGUUUGAAAACGAAAGGUUCGUGGUAACCCUCCGGUCAGAUUUUGGUUUAGGUAUUGAGCAACGGGAG